AUUGAACGCUAGCGGGAUGCUUUACACAUGCAAGUCGAACGAGUGGCGGACGGGUGAGUAAUAUAUCGGAACGUGCCCAGUAGCGGGGGAUAACUACUCGAAAGAGUGGCUAAUACCGCAUACUAUUUGAGUGGCUCAUAUCGGAUUAGCUAGUUGGUGGGGUAAAGUACCCCCAAGGCAACGAUCCGUAGCUGGUUUGAGAGGACGGCCAUCCACACUUGGACUGGGACACGGCCCAGACGCCUACGGAAGGCAGCAGUGGGGAAUUUUGGACAGUGGGGGAAACCCUGAUCCAGCCAUCCCGCGUGUAUGAGAAGGCCUUCGGGUUGUAAAGGACUUUUGGCAGAGAAGCGGUAUCUGCAGAAUAAGCACCGGCUAACUACAUGCCAGCAGCCGCGGUAAUUC
rnacentral:rRNA from 1 species